rnacentral:rRNA from 1 species
AUUGAACGCUGGCGGCAGGCCUAACACAUGCAAGUCGAGCGGAUGAAGGGAGCUUGCUCCUGGAUUCAGCGGCGGACGGGUGAGUAAUGCCUAGGAAUCUGCCUGGUAGUGGGGGAUAACGUCCGGAAACGGGCGCUAAUACCGCAUACGUCCUGAGGGAGAAAGUGGGGGAUCUUCGGACCUCACGCUAUCAGAUGAGCCUAGGUCGGAUUAGCUAGUUGGUGGGGUAAAGGCCUACCAAGGCGACGAUCCGUAACUGGUCUGAGAGGAUGAUCAGUCACACUGGAGCUGAGACACGGUCCAGACUCCUACGGGAGGCAGCAGUGGGGAAUAUUGGACAAUGGGCGAAAGCCUGAUCCAGCCAUGCCGCGUGUGUGAAGAAGGUCUUCGGAUCGUAAAGCACUUUAAGUUGGGAGGAAGGGCAGUAAGUUAAUACCUUGCUGUUUUGACGUUACCAACAGAAUAAGCACCGGCUAACUUCGUG